UGGGGAAUAUUGGACAAUGGGCGAAAGCCUGAUCCAGCAAUGCCGCGUGAGUGAUGAAGGCCUUAGGGUUGUAAAGCUCUUUUACCCGGGAAGAUAAUGACUGUACCGGGAGAAUAAGCCCCGGCUAACUCCGUGCCAGCAGCCGCGGUAAUACGGAGGGGGCUAGCGUUGUUCGGAAUUACUGGGCGUAAAGCGCACGUAGGCGGUUUUGUAAGUUAGAGGUGAAAGCCUGGGGCUCAACUCCAGAAUAGCCUUUAAGACUGCAUCACUUGAACACGGGAGAGGUGAGUGGAAUUCCGAGUGUAGAGGUGAAAUUCGUAGAUAUUCGGAAGAACACCAGUGGCGAAGGCGGCUCACUGGACCGUUGUUGACGCUGAGGUGCGAAAGCGUGGGGAGCAAACA
rnacentral:rRNA from 1 species